rnacentral:rRNA from 1 species
GACGAACGCUGGCGGCGUGCUUAACACAUGCAAGUCGAACGGUGACGAAUGGAGCUUGCUCUGUUCUGAUCAGUGGCGAACGGGUGAGUAACACGUGAGUAACCUGCCCCUGACUCUGGAAUAACUUCGGGAAACCGAAGCUAAUACCGGAUAUGACACAGAGCUGCAUGGUUUCUGUGUGGAAAGUUUUUCGGUUGGGGAUGGACUCGCGGCCUAUCAGCUUGUUGGUGAGGUAAUGGCUCACCAAGGCGACGACGGGUAGCCGGCCUGCGAGGGCGGUCGGCCACACUGGGACUGAGACACGGCCCAGACUCCUACGGGAGGCAGCAGUGGGGAAUAUUGCACAAUGGGCGAAAGCCUGAUGCAGCGACGCCGCGUGAGGGAUGAAGGCCUUCGGGUUGUAAACCUCUUUCAGUAGGGAAGAAGCGCAAGUGACGGUACCUACAGAAGAAGCACCGGAUAACUACGUGCCAGCCGCCGCCGUAACAC